GGAGAGGUCGCAUAGUGGCCUAGUGCAGCGGUUUACUAAACCGCCGUCCUUCACCGGACCGAGAGUUCGAAUCUCUCCCUCUCCG
rnacentral:tRNA from 1 species